rnacentral:rRNA from 1 species
GAUGAACGCUGGCGGCGUGCCUAAUACAUGCAAGUCGAGCGAAUGGAUUAAGAGCUUGCUCUUAUGAAGUUAGCGGCGGACGGGUGAGUAACGCGUAUGCAACCUGCCUUUAACUGAGGGAUAGCCCAUAGAAAUGUGGAUUAAUACCUCAUAGUUCUUUAGUUCCGCAUGGGAUUGAAGAUAAAGCUCCGGCGGUUAAAGAUGGGCAUGCGUGACAUUAGCUAGUUGGUGAGGUAACGGCUCACCAAGGCGACGAUGUCUAGGGGUUCUGAGAGGAUGAUCCCCCACACUGGUACUGAGACACGGACCAGACUCCUACGGGAGGCAGCAGUGAGGAAUAUUGGUCAAUGGGCGCAAGCCUGAACCAGCCAUCCCGCGUGCAGGAUGACGGCCCUAUGGGUUGUAAACUGCUUUUAUACACCAAGAAAAAUCCGAACGUGUUCGGACCCGACGGUAGUGUAUGAAUAAGCAUCGGCUAACUCCGUGCCAGCCGCCGCGGUAA